GAAGUCGAAAGGGUUGGGUCGGUGUAUUCGCGCUUAAAAUAACCUUCUUCACUCAUCCCUCUGGCUUCUCUCAAAACAACAUACAUACAUGUUUCUUUGAAGAAUAGGGUUUUAUUUGGAGGUUCUUUUUCUUCUAUCGACACCACCGUUUCCUCUUUCUUUCAUUCCCCGACGUUCAACAAUCCUCUGCGUUUCCCUCUUCCUCUGUUAGGUAUUUUAAAUUAGGCUAACAUCUUCAGGCCUCCCUUCAUCACUGGGGCUAUUGGGUUGUACCUUUAUUAUUUGUAGUUGUAGUAUGACGUCUGGUUCCGAUGUCAGUUUGGUUCACCGUCAUCAUCGAUCAAGAAAAAGAAUACAUGUCUUUCUCCUCUGAUUUCUAGGUUGUAAGUUUAAUUGUGUGUUUUCUCCUCCGAUUUCUGGGUUUCUUUUUUUCUUUCUAUUUCUCGUCCAUUUAUUUUUUGUUUUGUUGGUUUUUUGAAGCAGGUCACCUAAUAGAAAUCACCCAUCAAAUGAAGAUGAUUGGUCAAACAAUAGAUUUUUAGAGAUUGACAAUUGAUUUUUUGGGGGCAUAAGAAAAGUAAGCUUGAAUCUUAAUCAAAUGAGGAUACUUCCAAGAGGUGUUGUGAUUUUUUUAACAAUUUAUAUGCUGAGCUUUUUGUUUCAAGGCUACUACAAAGAUACGUUUUUAGUUCCAUUGAAUCUCAAAUAAGGGUGUUGGGUGAUUUCUGUCUUCUAUCCACUGAAUUACAAAAGAUAUGAGAAAUGAUGGGAUUAACUUACUUCAUGUUGAAUCAAUCAGAAAAGAUGUUGAAUAUUCCACAGAAACACCUUCAGUACUUAUUUAGUAUGCCUGGUAGAUCUUUACAUCAGAGAAGGAAAUGCCUCAUGGUGGAUUGAAAUGUUAAAAUCAAGUGGUCAAUAUAAAGAGGUGCUGAUGUAUACUUUCGUAUCUCUGAUGAGGUAAUAAUCAUGUUAAGAAACUUUUUUUUUAGCCAAAUGAAUUAUGUUAAGAAAGUAUGGAUUUCACUUCGUUCUUUCUGGUGAUCUGUACAAGAAAUGGGAUCAGGUAUUGCAAUUUUUGUUACCUUAUCAUAUAUCUUAAUACUUUAAUAGAAGAUAAUUUUGUUUUCCAAUUAGUACUUAAUAGAUAAUUUCUAUUAUCGAAUAUAUGAAAAUAACCAUACAUUUCAAAUUAUUUAAAAUGAGGUUUUUGACAGGUCAUUCUAUGAGGGUGAUGAUAAUCCAAAUGUAUGCAUUGUGCAUGAUAUAUUGAUGAUUUGCUCAUUCUACAACUUUGAUCUUGGUUAUUGUCAGGGCUUGAGUGAUCACUCUCCAAUAUUCAUUAUCCAUCAUGAAAGAUGAAUCACAAGUUUUCUGGUGUUUUGUUUUUUUUUCUUUUUUUAUGGGAAGAUUAGGUCCGAAUAUUAACCGUGAUCAAGGGUUUUUUGGUCAUUUAAUUUGAAAUUUGAAGGAAUUUGACAGGGUUGAAUUGUGUCUGGAUUUUCAACCAAAUGCACCAUUGAAUGGAAUCCACAAUUCCAAUUCUUGGCUGCAAAUCAAUUACCAAAAAUAGUAUUUCAAGAAAAUCCAACAGAACUGAAUUCCGUCCCAAUUGUCAACCAAACACGUCAUGAAAUGGAAUAUCGAAUUCCAAUUCUGUCGGAACCCGCGAUUCCAUUUGUUAGCUGCAGUUUCUAACAUGUAUAUUAUUACUGUUUUGAUAUGGCAGCUCAUGUCACAACUACUUCAAACAAAACAACUGCUUCUGUUUACUGGAUUCUGAUAUAAUUCAAAAAGGCAAGAAAUGAUGGGAUUAACACACUUCAUGUUGAUCCAAUCAAAUAAAGAUGUUGAAUAUUGCAUGGAAAACACCUUCAGCAGUUAUUUAUGAAUUGGGACAUCAGGGAAGGGAAAUGCCACAUGGUGUGUUCUUUGGUGGGUUGAAAUGUUAAAAACAAGAGGAUGCUGUAUCUCUGAUGGGGAACCUGUUCAUUCACAUCUUAUUGUUGUGGUCAUUAUGUUAAGGAAGUAUCGAUCAAGGUACAUUAUUGAAUCUCAAAAAAGGGUGUUGGGUGAUUAUGCCUUCAUGUUAUGAAAUUAUGAACUUGCUUUAUCAAAUUGCCACUGAUUACAACCUGACAAAGCAUGGAAACAAUAUGAAUUGAUGUGCUUUUUUAUCAAAAAAAAAAUGUUGAAUAUUGCAUGAAAACGCCAUCAGAACUUAUUUGGUACACCUGUUAAACAACAUGUUCUUAUUGCUACAGUUUAUCCUUCUCAGAAGGACCAUGAAGCCUUUGAUCAUCCUGUUACAUGGUUUGAGUGAUCUCUCUUCAAUAUCAUUAUUCAUCAUGAAAGAGGAAUCACAAGUUUUCUAGUGUUUUUUUUUUUUUUUUUUUUUUUUUUUAAGGAAAGAUUAGGUCCAAAUUUCAACCGUGAUGGAGGGUAUUUUGGUCAUUUAAUAAAAAAAAGAGUAAUGAAAUUGAAACCACCUGCCCUCAUGAAUGGUUGAAAAGGAAUUUGACAGGGUUAAUUUUCAACCAAUUCUUGGCUGUGAAGCGAUUACUAAAAAUGGAAUUUCAAGAAAAUCGACCAGAACUAAAUUCCGUCCCAAUCAUCAACCAAACAUGUCAUGAAAUGGAAUCUCGAAUUCCAACUCUGUCGGAAUCCGCGAUUCCAUUUCUUAGCUGUGGUUUCGAACAUGUCUAUUAUUGUUUUGAUAUGGCUGCUCAUUGCACUACGACUUCAAACAAAACGAUGGAUCUUCUGUUUCCAGUGGAUUCUGAUACAAUUAAGUAAAUUUACUCUUCUACCCUCACAAACUACACUACACUACUAAUGUGACAAUUUAGAGAGUUUUUUGGGAAAAAGAUGGAUGAGAAGAAUCCUCAAUAUAUAUUAUACGUAAUACACAAGCUAGUUAUCAGCCUAAAUUACAUGUGCUUAUUUAUUAUCUUCACUUCAGGAAAUGAUGAGCCAUUUUUAUUAAAAAAAAAUGGUGAAUAAAGCAGUUAUUGCUAUCUGUGUAUCAGAAGGUGGAUUGAAGUUACCUAAUUUUCCCUUAUACAUACAUACAUACAUACAUGUUCAUAUCAGUUUAUCUUUCUUCUUUGUUAAACAUACUGAGAUUCUUCAGUUGCCAAAGCAGACAGAUUAAGGAGAAGCACAUCAAAAUGGUAAAUUCUUUUGGUAGCAAUUAACAAUUUUAAACAGUACAAAAUUCAAUUUUAAACAGAUCAAACACCCUCACUGGGUUUCUUUCUCUUUUUCUCCUCCAUUUAUCUUUUGUUUUGUUGGGUUUUUGAAUUAGAUCACCUACUCUGCACUUUAGGUGUCUGAUGAAAUUUCUUAAUUAAGUUAAAGAGUUGUUUUGCAGGUGAAAAUGUUGUUGGAUUGAAUUAUGUAGACAAAAGUAAAUAAUCACAAACCAAACCAAACCAAAUUAAAACUUUUUGAGCCAUUAAAGAUUCAAUUAGGGAAAGAUAAUUUGUUAUUUGUAAUUUUACUCAAUUAGAAACAGAAGUGUGUCUUGAAUCUUAAUCAAACGAAGAGGUGUUGUGAUUUCUUUGUGGGCCUGUUUGUGUCAUCGCCUCUCUUCUUAUUUCUGAGAUUCCAAGAAUAAAGAACACAAAGUCUUUGUUACGUUAGAAUGUUUUUUUUUUUUUUUUUUUUUUUUUUUUUUUUUUUUUUUUUGUAUUUGUAAUGUUCUCUGUUUCUAAAUCUCAUUGUGUUAUUCAUGUUGCAGGAGUUGUAUUUAUCAAAAGAUUUAGAUGUUUCUGAGAAAUGUUUUUAUUUAUUUAUUUUCAAGUAGGUGACAAAUGAGUGGUUAAAACAGGUUAUUACUGAUGCAUAGAGCCAUUGCGUAUAGAAACUAUACCCAUCGGUAUGUUUUUCAGCUAAUUAUACACCUAGUGAAAGUUGCACACAGUUGUAAGAGUUAAAAUUUUUAUCAUUUUAAAGCCAUUCAUUUAUUUCCCCUUGCAGCUUCUCAUAAGAUACAAUUUGGUUUUGUAUCUUAUUUUAUAGUGUGUCUUACAAGUUCAAUUGUAUACUAUAUAUGUGUGUGUGUGUGUGUGAAGUUCAUAAUUGCAUGUGAUACAGAGCAAGUGAAUCACUCUUCUGCACAAGCCAUAUUUUGUGUGCCACAGACAUUACAUAUUAUAAGUUUCCCCAGUUGAUAUUUAUAAAUGGUUAAAGUUGCUGAUGACUUUGACAUUGAGCUUUUUGUCAGAGAUUCCUUCUGAUACUGGUAUUAUGGUUAAUCAUUUUCUUAUCAAUUGCACUGAUAAGAAGAUUCUUUAUUGAAAUCAUAUGGUUAAUCAUUUUCUUAUUAGGACAUUCUGCUUUGAAAAUUCUACCCAAUUAUAUAUAGCACUGUACUUCCAUUUAUUUCUUAUUGCAACAUAACAUACUUUGAAAAAUCUGCCCAUUUAUAGAUAGCAUCACACUUUCAAUUUGUGUUCCAAGGCUACUACAAAUUUACACUUUUAGUUCCAUUGAAUCUCAAAUAUUAUAAGGGAGUUGGUUAUUGAUUCCAGCCUUCUUCUAUCCACUGGUUACAAAAGAUUAUAUGAGCCUACGACCCUGUUUGUGUAAUUCCAGAAAUACCCCUCUGUUCCUAAAACUUGUGCUUAUUUAUAUCAUCUUCAGGAAAUGAUGGGAUUAACAUACUUGAUGUCGAAUCAAUCAAAAAAAGAUGUGCUUUUAUUCAGUGAAUUGGGACAUUAGGGAAGGAAAUGUUAAAAACAAGUGGUCAAUAUAAAGAGAGGGUGUUUGUGUGUACUUUCUUAUCUCUGAUGAGGACCUCUUCAUUCAGCUGUGGUGCUUGAACAGACAUCUUAUUGCUGUUACCUUUUUUUUUAGCCAAACGAAUUAUGUUAAGAAAGUAAGGAUUUCAUCUCAUUCUUUCUGGUGGUGAUCUGUACAAGAAACGGGAUCAGUGGUCAAGCUUUUUGGAUUAUGAAGGCUGAGUCAUGGAUCCAGACGCUUUAAAACAGAGAAUAUUCUAUAGGGGCAAAAAGAGGUUUAUGCAUUCUUAGUGGGAUCUUAUUCAUACCAUUCAACAGUAUGUUGUCUCAGUUAAAAACAUUAGAGUACAUGACUAUCAAAAACCAAUUGCAGGUAAAUGACUAUUGUGCCCUCCAAGUUCUAUCACCCAAAUAUUAUAUUUAUUGCGAUUUAUAAAAAGGUUUACAGAAAUUAGAGAAAGGAAGGGUUUGAUUGAGAAAGAUGUGGUAUGAAAAUAACCAUACAGUUCAGAUGUGGUUUUUUUUUUUUUUUUUUUUUUUUUAUUUAAGUAUUUUAUUUUUGUUUUUAAGGUAAUGAUAUAUUGUUGACUUACUCAUUCUACAACUUUGAUCUUGGUUAUUGACAGGUAACAUGCCACUAUUAUUAUUUAUAGAGUAAAUUACAAUUUCGUCCUUGUGAUAUUUCAAAACUUAUGGUUUUCAUCUAAGAUAUUUCAUUUGCUGUACAAUUGGUCAGUAAAGUAUAGUUUUGUUGAAAGUUUUCUCCAUGGUGGAACUGUUGGUGUUGCAAAAUGUUUGUGAAAUCCAAGUGAAAUAUGACUAUUUUGUCCCUCUCUUUUUUUAUCCUUCAUCCUGUAAACCUAAAAUUCCUCAACUUUAAUCUUAAACUCUAAUCAAACCAAUACCCAACAAUUAAGCUAAAACUAAAACAAAAUUAAGAUCCAAGGUACCAACAAAUUUAUUUAAAAAAACCAUGAACAGUAAACUAAAAAGAUUAAAGAUUGUUAGGUUAGAAUUAUUUUUAUUUUAUACUUUUGGAUCUUGAUUCUUCUUUAAUUUUUGGGUGUUGAUUGAAUUUGGUUUGAUUUUUAUGAUUUAAGAUGAAGGAGAUUUAGAAGAUGAAGAUAGGGCAAAAAAAGUCAUUUUACUUUAUCUAAUUAGUCAUUUUACUUUGUGUUAUUUAUUUAUUUAUUUAUUAUACACACAAUAUUUUGCUAAUAAUUGAAAUAAAGAAUUUUUAUCUCACAAAACAUGAGUGAUCUCUCUCUCUCUCUCUCUCUCUCUCUCUCCAUUAUUAUUCAUCUUGAAAAAUGAUUCAUAAGCUUUCAGGUGUUUUAUUGGAAUGAUUAGGUCCAAAUUUCAACCGUGAUCAAAAAGGCAUGCACUCUCAACUCUUUCUUUGCGCUAUAAAAUGUCCUCCCUCUAUCUCAAUAUAUAACAAGGGUAUUUUGGUCUUUUAAUAAAGAGGGAGGAAUGAAUCAAAACUGGCAUUCCUUCUGCCUGCCCCUAUAAAUAAAUGGUUCAAGCCCAUCAAAUAUGAAAUACCAAGGAAUUUCACAAAGUUGCAUUCCGUCCGAAUUUUCAACCAAAGGCACCAUUCAAUGGAAUCUCGAAUUCCAAUCCCACCGGUAUCCACAAUUCCAGUUCCUAGCUGUGAUUAUCAAACAUGGAAUUUCAAGAAAUCCAACAUAAGUGUGUUCCAUCCAAAUUGUCAACCAAACACGUCAAGAAAUGGAAUCUCGAAUUCCAACUCUGCCAGAAUCCGCAAUUCCGUUUCUUAGCUGUGGUUUCUAACAUGUCUAUUAUUGUUUUGAUAGGGCAGCUGGUGGAACUACUCAACAGCCCAUUACACAACUGCUUUCUGUUUCUGUUGGAUUCUGAUCCAACUCAAAAGGCAAGUAAAUUUACUCUUCUACCCUCGCUAAUUAAAAAGUAUCACAUGGUUUCAGGGUAUUUGAAUACGAUAAAACAUUAAGGUUAUGGGAGGUGUUACGGACAAGGUAAUAAACCAAACUGUACUUUGCUGAUUACUAAAUAUACAUGUAAAAUGUCUAAUAAGGUAACAAUAAUAAAAAAAUCCUUUCCAUAUUGGCCUCAUAAGUUUGUAUGUUGCAACUGAAUGCUAUUUAGAUGCAAAGGUAUAUAACCUUCUAUUAAAACAUUAUACUUUCAUAAUCAAAUCUAUUAAGACACUGUAAUUUUAUUAUUUUUCCUAGUCACUCUACUUCCACAAACUAAACAUGUUUGUUUUUGGUUACUAGUUAUAGCAUUAUAGCUUUAAUUUUUUUUUUUUUUAUCAAGACUUUAUUUUGAAAAUCUGAACUUGCUUGAUUUUGGUAAACAUAUAUAGCAUUUUAUAUUCAAAAUCUAACAUAAUUAAAUGUUGUAAUUUGUAUUUCCUUUUCUUAUUAAGACAACAAACUUUGCAAAUUUUUUACCUUUGAACUUUUUCUUAUUAAAACUUUACACUUGGAAAAUCUAAUAUUAUUAGACAUUAUACUUUUUUUCCUACAUAGAUAAUGUACUUUGGAAAUCUAGACAACUACAACAUAGUACUUUUAAUCUGGCCUAUUAAGAUAUUUUCUUCUAUUUUUUUUUCCUAUUAAGAAAAUGUUUUUUAAAAUCUAACCUAUAUAUAUACACACACACACACGAAAACACAAAUGAUUUGUGAAAACGAAAACAACCAUUAAGGAUGAGACGCAUGUAUAUUUGAAAUAAAAAUAAAUGUUGUAUUAAGAUAAUUUAAAAAUAUACUCGGAAGGGUAAAUUUGGAAUUUGCAUUAACCGCAUUAAAACUUUACACUGACUUUUAUACUUUGAAAAUCUAACAUAUUUAGACAUUUUACUUUUAUUUUUUCCCUACUUAGACACUAUACUUGAAAAAUCUAGACAAUUAUAACAUUGUAUUUUGAAUGUGUAGACAAUUGUAAAAUAUAGCUAUAAAGAUUUUUUUUUCUUAUAAUCUUUUACUAUUAAGCCAUUGUACUUUGAAAAUCUAAGCAUCUAUGAUUUAUGUUCCCAUCACUAACAUUAUACUUUCAAUUUUCUUUCAUAUUUCUGUAUAUCUUUUUUCAUAUUAAGACAAUGUGCUUUAUCUUAAAUAUUACUAUUUAAAUUAUAGUGUUAUACUGCUAAUAUCUAACAUAUUAAGACUCAUUUAAUAUUUCUUUAAAAAUCUCACCUAUUAAGACUUUGUAACUUUAAAAACUUCUACCAUUCAACCUUUUUCUUAUUAAAGCAAUACACUUUGAAAAUCUAAUAUUAUUAGGACAACAUUUUAUUUUUGAAAUAUAACAUAUUUAAAUGUUAUCUUUUAACUUUUUUUUUUUCUUAUUAGGAUAAUACAUUUUGAAAACAUUGUACCUUUCAAGUUUUUUCUUGUUAAGACUAACCUCUUUGAAAAUCUAAGAUAUACUUUUAUGAACAGGUUUGCCACAUGAAUAAGGAAAGUCAAAGAUGGAGUUCUAAUGUUUGUCCAACAGUGAUAAGGAAAAUGAAUCGCUUUGGAAAGAAUAUGAGGGUCGCUGGAGCUGGCGCUGAAACUGUCAACUGGGGGCAAUUGGCCUUCUUGUGGCCCCUCUGGUUGCAGUGGAAACACAACAACUCAGACGUCUGGAUAACUGCUGCCGGAGCAGUGCAAUCCCUGCUAUAGUGUCCAGGCUUGCCGCACUUGUAGCAGCCUAAUGAUCCCAACCUGCAUGCCCCCUCGUGCGUCUUGCCGCAUUUCCUGCAGCGUCCCCGUUCCUGUUGCCGCAUUUCCUGACUGACCCUCUCCUGCCUUCCGUUUCCGGAUGUGCUCCAAGUCUAUCUCCCUCUCCCUUGCCCUGGCAAUCAUAGAGUCCAAGGUGAGGCAAGCUGAAAAACUAACGUGCUCCCGGAUAUCAGCCCGGAGCAUGUCGUGAUAGCGGGUCCUCCUCAUCGCCUGCAUACUGGGGCACCAGCAGUGCCCUCUCCCGGAACUUGGCGGUGAUCUCCGCCACAUUCUCCGUCGUCUGUCUCAUGUCCAAAAACUCCCUGGCCAGCUGCUGAAGCUCGACAGUCGGCGCAAACUCCGCCCUGAACCUGGUCACAAAAUCCGACCAGGUCAUAGUCUCGAUAGCUGAGGCUCCCAACGAGUCACCCACUGCCUCCCAACAAUCUCAAGCUCGGUCCCGUAAACAUCCUGUUGCAUACCUCACCUUCGACCCGAGGGGCAGAAGCUAGUCAACUGUGCAGACUCGAUGUCUGCAAUCCAUCGCCUAGCAGCAAUGGGGUCUUUCACCCCGUGGAAAUCCGGUGCACCACUGCCCCUGAAGUCCUUAAAGGACAGCGUGCGAGGCCCCGACUGGCCAGAUGCCAUGUCGCUCCUGAACGCCCUAAAGUGAUCCUCCAUCAACUCGAUGAUCCUCUCCUUGAUCGACCCAAAGAUGAUGGGGGUCGACUCAAGGAUGCCUCUGGUAAUCUCUCUGACGCGAUGAACUCGCGUAGUCCCUCAUCGACUGGCUCGGAACCUGAUCCCGAACCUGACCCCUCUCCUAAACCGCCAUCUAUCGGCCUCGAACGUAGUACCACCAUUCUGUAAUACAGGAAUAAUAACUGUUAGUGAUACUAAUACUUCUUGAGGGAUCACAUCUACCACAAGUUCCCUGGUCUCAUCUUGGCCUCCCUUGGCUCGGGUACGGAUCCUCUGCUUUCAGUAGUACGGGCCCAUACUACCUUCAACAUCUAUCCGUAUCUUCUCGAAGAACUGCCUCGACUCCACCAGAUCCCUUCCACUACGGCUGAUCACUACUAUACUCAUCCUAGGCUUGCCCUAGAGAAAUCUCAGGCUCCACCCUACCAGGUCCUCAGCUGCUGAAGGCCUCUUAGUAGUGCCAAUUGACCAUUACCUGAAUACCAUCACAUGUGGUGAGACUCGGAUAAUCCUUCGAGUAACAGGUUCAUCCCUACAACGGUUAGACUCAAACGAGAGCUGUGUAAUAGGGCCAAAUCCAACACUCUAAGAUUAUUCAACCUUGAUCACAUGUGACGUGACGUAUUCACCUAAUGGCUAACUCCCACCACUCAGAGUCCCACAAAGCACAAAGCAACCAUCAUUCGAGCUAAGGGAACAAUUUCAAGCAAAUCUGCUCUCAUAGAGAAGAACUAAUCUAGCAUACAGAGCUAAACUCAUAGUAUCAGGCAUAACCUAACAGGCUAUCCUAUUGCUGUCUACUCGACUCUAUCAUGCAAUUUUUUUUUAUACAGCUAAAACACAUAAAGCAGGCACAUAAGGCAUCGUUCCUAGAUCCUUAGUCAUAUUCUAGCAUUCUGUUCUACAAAAGCUGAUAAAUAUAACAUAAACUUGUAUGGGUACUUUGGGGAAUACUUACUUGAGCUCGGCCGGUCGCGCACAUCACACACUUCGUUCUUUCUCAAAACUAUUUUCUCAUUUUUUUUUGAAAACAUUUUCCUUUAGAAAAUCUUUCAAUCCCUCGAUUUGAGUUCAGACACCCCCGAAGGUGUGUCCGAAUCCCUCAAACCAAGGCUCUGAUACCAACUUGUAACGACCCAAUUUUCACGUCCAAAAAUUUUGUUUAUAAAUCAUUACUUGGAAAUCAUUAAUAAUUAAAACAUUGUAUAAUUAAACCAUUUUACAUUGAAAACCAAAUUGAAAUCCACAACAUUUAAACAACCAAAAUAUCAGAGUAUCAAUCCUAGAAUAAACUCAUAACUGCGGAAACAAAAGUGUGUGAUAUGCUGCUACCGAGCCUGCUCCUUCCCCUUGGCUGAAGAGGUACCUGAAACAACAACUAAAAAACGUAAGCACAAAGUUUAGUGAGUUCCCCCACUGUACCACAUACCAUAAUAAUCACAUAACAUACAUUUAUCGUCAGGCAUAUCUGGGUUGCUCGACCUACCCCUUCGGUCCUUUGGACCGGAUGUUGCCUAGCAUACCUGGGUGCUGGCCUCCCCUUCGGUCCUCUCGACCGGAUACUGGAGACUACUUCUCCCCUCUACUACUACCACAUAACAUGUACCACAGUAUCAGAAUCUAUCUAGCAUGGCUGGGUAUAACUACCCCUUCGGCCCUAUUGACCGGAUGUCUUGGGACUAUCUCCCCUACUACCACUAACACAUAGCAUCACAUCAUACUAGCACAUAAGCAUGGAACAGGUAGUAGUAACCCUAGAUGAAUAUCACGGAGACAAUCAUCCACAUACAACUCCUACUGGUGGGCCGGCAUUGUGGCCGUAGAUCCACCGCUACUGGAAGGUAACUCACCCCGAAGUAGCUGCUGGUCUGGUCGGGAACUGACUGCCUACUGCUGCUGCUGCUCCGGAAAUCCUCCGGCUGCAACUCCCACAACAUACUCAAUCAAUCACUGCUAACUGUCCUUUGGGUAAAAUGAUCAUUUUACCCCUGAUCAUGUCAUAAGUCAAAGUCAGAGUCAACUUUUAGUUGACCCGACUCGCCGAGUUGGCUCUCCAACUCGCCGAGUCCCUAUCCAAUCGAUUGCCCUGGAUCUCGUCCCUACUCGUCGAGUUAGACGUUGACUCGACGAGUUCUCCUUCUAAAUUGAGGUUCAAGUCCUUCAUCUUACUCGCCGAGUUGUAUGAACAACUCGCCGAGUUCAUCUUCAUCCGAAGAACACAUAUGCUGCGACUCGCCGAGUUGUAUGAACAACUCGCCGAGUUUGUUCUUGAUCUAAGGAGAUUGCCUUGAACUCGCCGAGUCAGGGCAUUGACUCGUCGAGUUCCUCCAUGGAUGAGUUUGGCUUCCAACUCACUGAGUCACACCCCGUGACUCACUACUCCCACUCAAACAACGAAAAGGGGACAAACUCGGAGACUCGCAAGCAGACUCGCCGAGUCAGAUGAACGACUCGCCGAGUUGUUACCAUGCAAUCACUAUAUGCUGGAUUCUGCUUGAAUCCAGCUUAUACUAUCCACAGAACUGGGUUCCUAGAGCAUGAAUAACACGUAAAGUUUUAGGGUUCAAAAUGCACCAAAUGAGUAGAUCUAGGGUCUUUAUGUAAUAUGGGUCCGUAAAGGCAGUAGAUCUGAGCUCUUGGAGCUCAACCAUGCCUAGAUCUAGAGGCCAAUCAGCUUAUUACGAAUUAUAUUGCACAUGCAAGCUUGGGGAAGGGCUCAAGAAGGACUUUAAUGGAGUAACAAGCAUAGAAACAGAGGGAAAACGAGUUAUACCUCCAAGAAAUUACUGAGAGAACACAAAGAUGCUUGACUUCCUUCCCUUCCUCUUGAUCUACUCCUCCUCCUCAAAAUCUUCAAGAAAACACACAAAAGGCCUCAAACUCACAAGAACAAGGGGUUAGAACGUAUGGAGAGCUCCUGAGGGUGAAGGGGGCUGGCUUAGGGCGGAAAUGAGGGCUUAAAUAGGGUGCAAACCCCUGAAACUUAGGGUUUCAUCAAACAGCGGUGACUCGCCGAGUCCAGGAUAUGGACUCGCCGAGUCGCCAACUUAAACAUGUCCCGGGUCCCGUCUCUACUCGGCGAGUCGGACCUAUGACUCGCUGAGUCCAAGGCUAAAAAUGGAAAUUACUCAAAUAAGAUUUACGUACCAGGAACCAGGUGCUACAUAUAGAACAAACAGGUAAAAUUUAUAUUUAUUAAAUUAUAUUAUAGAAUUAGGGAUACAUUUUACAAUUAUUUUCAGGUACAAUAUGAUAUUUGUUCCUUUCACUGCAAUAAACAAUCAUGAAAAGACAAUCAAUGUUGGAGUAGGACUAAUAUCAGAUGAAACAAUUGAAUCAUACUCUUGGUUAUUAGAAGCUUUUUUGUCAUCACAUAAGAAGAAACCAACAAUGAUUCUGUCAGACAUAGAUGUAGCAUUAUCUUCUUCAAUAGGAAAGGUGUUUCAAGGAUGUACUCACAGAUUAUGUAUGUGGCACAUAAUGUCAAAAAUGCCAUCAAAGAUUGACGCUGAUUUAGUUUCAAAUUCAGAUUUCAAGAAACGCAUAAAUCAACUAGUUUGGAAUAUGAAUAUUGAACCAUCAGAAUUUGAGAACAAAUGGGAUUUGAUGUUGAAUGAAUUUCAUUUGAAGGAUAAUAAAUGGUUGGCUGAUAUGUUCAACAAGAGAGAAAAAUGGAUUCCCUCAUAUUUCAGAGAUAUACCAAUGUCUUUUUCCUUCAACAUCUUCUCUGCAACUCUUUUGAGCAUGUCUUUUGACAAAUGGACAAUUUCUAGAAUCAUGUUGAACCAACGUAUUGCAAAAUUUACACAACCUCAUUUGUGUGUUAUACAUCUUAUUUUGAUGAAAAAUAUACAUUAUAUUGAAAUAUAUAUUAUUAGUUAUAACUUACACAUAAAUAUAUAUGCCACUAAUCUUCCGAAAUAUAUGUUAAGACUAUUUCAAAUCAUCAACUACAUAUUCAGAAUCAUUUUACUUAAAAAUAUUAAAUCUAAUGCGAUUGAAAAAUAUAAUAUUAGUUAUAACUUACACAUGUAUAUAUAUGCAACUAAUCUUCCGAAAUAUAUAAUAUUUUAUUACCUAGUAAAAUCUUUCAUUUAUUACUUAAAUCUAUUCAGAAUUAACAAUUAUAAAAAAUAUAAAUAUUCAUAAAUGCAGAAGUCAAAUCGACUUAAUUACAAUAAAUACAAACAAUCCUUUCAUAUAAAAAGCUUUUCAUCUAAUAGUAACUUUAUAUUUUAUAUUUAAAAAAAUGAAAAAAAAAAUAAUUACUAAAAAUAUAAUGUAAAAACUAUAAAUAAUAACAAGAUUAUAAUCUCAUUAUAACAUACAAAAAAAAUAUUUAUUUUAUUUAUAUCAAAUUAAUAAAAGAAGGUAAUAUAUACCGAUUUGUUUGAUAAAAUGCAAAAAAAAAAAAAAUAAAUAAAUAAAAUUAAUUCAUAAGAAGAUAAGGAUUAUCAUCUUCAAUGUAUAGAUACCAUGAUUACCUAAAUCUACAACCGCCAUAAUAGACUAUAAUAUUUAUUGAAGCAAAUGAUGGCAGAAAAUUAAUUACCUACUCUACUAACUCCAAUUGUUACCGCUAUAUAUUCCUCCUCAACAUCACCAUAAACUUAAAGAAAAAAAAACUAUCCAUUGAUGGCUUCUGAAUCAUCGCUUUGGGUAGUUCGGAACUCCUCGGAUUAUCUUGAUCUUUACGACAUAUAUGGGUGGGAAAACAAAAAGUACUUCACAAUGAUGCUAAACCAUGGAGGUAGUUUCCACUACUACCCAAAUCGAGAUUACAUUGGAGGCAACAUUGACUAUAUAGACUUCAUCGAGGUUGAAACUUUCUCUGCAGAGGUAUUUCAUACCAUCUUAAGUUCUUUUGGUUAUGAUGUUGCGACAACAUAUGCAUACUCUUUAGUCUCGUUUGCUCCUUUAGACGUUGGUCUAAACAAGCUUGCUUAUUGGAAUGAUUUCUUGAACUUUGUCAAAAAAGUUAAAAUAGAUGGGUUUUUUUUUUUGUGUUCAACAAGUUUAUUUGGAGCAUAAUCAAACCACUGUUACAAACUUCUUCCCAAAAACAUUAAACUUUGCAACCAACAGUUAUAUGUGCACGAAACUCUAUUCAAUGGUUGCAUCAAAUCCAAAAAUUACUGUUUGGGAGGCUAGGAUCAUGCUUUUUGACGAAUUCAACUUUUGGAUAAAUGUUGACAAACUCAUUGAAGCUUUGGAUUACACAAAGUAUCAAGUGAAUCUUCUGGGUAAGUAGAUGAAGUUGCAAGGUGAAAAGGUGGGAAUUUGGGUUUUUGGGUUUUUAGAUUUAAGGAAAUGGUGUUAGUAUGAAUAUUUGGUCAUUUAUAUAAUAUGUUUAUGUGCUCUAACUUCUUUUGGGAUGACUGUAAUGGGGAUUGUAAUAUAUUUAUAAAUAUUAUCGAUGGUGGUUGUUAGUUUGUUAA